rnacentral:rRNA from 1 species
AGCAUCGCCGCGGUAAUACGGAGGGUGCAAGCGUUAAUCGGAAUUACUGGGCGUAAAGCGCACGCAGGCGGUCUGUCAAGUCAGAUGUGAAAUCCCCGGGCUUAACCUGGGAACUGCAUUUGAAACUGGCAGGCUAGAGUCUUGUAGAGGGGGGUAGAAUUCCAGGUGUAGCGGUGAAAUGCGUAGAGAUCUGGAGGAAUACCGGUGGCGAAGGCGGCCCCCUGGACAAAGACUGACGCUCAGGUGCGAAAGCGUGGGGAGCAAACAGGAUUAGAUACCCGUGUAGUCCCUGUCUCUUAUACA